AUUUCCGCCGGCGCGAAACGAGCGUAGCUUCCUUGUCGUGUGGCCUCAGUCCUUCGCCGUCCCUCGCCGUCCUUCGCCAUCGCACGCCACCGCACCCCAUCUCUCGAAAUCUGCAGACAUCUUGAUUUUUCCCACGCUGUCUGUCAGGUCUCCGCCGCCACUCGACGCCAGGGCGCCGGGUGAGUCCACAGCAGGGCGCAUGGUCGGCUCCACUCUCACCAUCGGGGGAAACUGAGGCCCCGGGGAAGGCGGCCAGAGAGGUCAGGCCCUGUCCUUGGUGCAGUGUCUCGUCCUCUUUGCCGGAGUGAGCCCCCCAGGAUUCGCGUGUCCUCGGGAAAGACACUGGCAGGCCUUGUGGGCUGUGCUGCACCUCGGACGGCUUCGCACCAGCCAGCGCCCUCUCUCUCCUGCAGCACUCUGAUCUGCACCCCCUGAGGGGCUUCCACUGUCCGCGGGGUGAGAAUGCCCCUGGGAGUGUCACAUGACUGCCGCCCCAUGUGUGUGAGAGGCGUCCUCUGGGAGAGCAUGGAUCCUGAGGUCCCAGGUAAGUGGGGUCCUGCUCAGUCCUCUAGAGCUCAAGUUCUCUGCAGGUUGUGAGGCCAGAGGUGGUUGGGUGCUGAGGAGUGGGGAGUGAGGACACCGGUGAAGGCUGCUUCCCUUUGCUCCUGUCUUUGCUCCUUCAGCAGGCAGGGACAGGCCUGGGCCCUCUUCUGCCUUCGUGGGGCUGCUGCCAAGAAGGUGCUCCCUGAGCUUGAUUGGGGCUCUGAGAGUCCCUGACAAAGACCCUGUCAUGUUGAGAGGAAAACCAUGUGUUGGAAUGGACAGAGGGGCUGCGUUUCAGAUUCAAGCCUGGAUUCAUACCCAGUGCCCGGCUGAGCAGUCUUAUGAUUGUCAGCUGACCUCUGUCCUGUGUGCCCAGUGGCCCCAGGUGACGUGUCUUCAAGAAGAGGCUGAGCUGCGGUGCUUGUAAGAGUCAUGUGCUGUUCCUGGGGCUUGGAUGAUGUAGGGGAAGCAAGGUGAAAGUGGUAUCCCGUGGUUCCACGUUCUGUCCUGCUGUGGGGCUGUCCCUCACAUGCUUUCAGUGGCUGUUGCAGAGGAAGAGCCUCCGGAAAUCUGCGUGGGUCUCAGCCUUAGAUCCAAGGACAGUCCAAGGAAGUCCUAAGACCAUGGAGUUGGUGAUCUGGGAUCUGGGUUUGCUGAUAUUUCUCACCGUGAAUCUCUUGGUGGUGUUUGUGGGCACGAGAGGGGCAGAGAAUGGAGAGUGAGGCUACCACAUGAAGCGUCACCAGAGCUGCUCCCUGCUGCCUGCUCAGAGCACCCCGGAUCCACUGUUCAAUCUGCACAAGAUUCGGGGUCCAGACAUGGGAGACUUCAGCUGCCUCAGAGGACCGUGGACAGGGAAGGCCAGCCUCGCAUCCCUCUGUCCAUGCCUGGAAUGACUUUAAUAACCAAGAGUUUUAUUUUUGAAUUUGUAGCUGUCGUUCACUUUUUACCCACCCAUUCAAUAAACCUUACAGAAUUGC
ensembl:lncRNA SNHG17 small nucleolar RNA host gene 17